UACGUAGGGUGCGAGCGUUAAUCGGAAUUACUGGGCGUAAAGUGUGCGCAGGCGGCCGCGCAAGUCGAGUGUGAAAGCCCCGAGCUUAACUUGGGAACUGCGCUCGAAACUACGUGGCUGGAGUGUGGCAGAGGAAGGUGGAAUUGACGGUGUAGCGGUGAAAUGCUUAGAUAUCGUCAAGAACACCGAUAGUGAAGACAGCUUACUAGGCUUCUACUGACGCUGAGGCACGAAAGUGUGGGGAUCAAACAGG
rnacentral:rRNA from 1 species